rnacentral:tRNA from 1 species
GCGGAGGUUGCCAAGCCAGGUUAAAGGCGCUAGACUCAGACUCUAGUCCUGUAGAGGUUCGUGAGUUCAAAUCUCACCCUCCGCACCA